GACGAACGCUGGCGGCGUGCUUAACACAUGCAAGUCGUACGGUAAGGCCCUUUCGGGGGUCCACGAGUGGCGAACGGGUGAGUAACACGUGAGUAACCUGCCCACAACUUUGGGAUAACGCUAGGAAACUGGUGCUAAUACUGGAUAUGUGCCCCUGCUGCAUGGUGGGGGUUGGAAAGCUCCGGCGGUUGUGGAUGGACUCGCGGCCUAUCAGCUUGUUGGUGGGGUAGUGGCCUACCAAGGAGGCGACGGGUAGCCGGCCUGAGAGGGUGACCGGCCACAUUGGGACUGAGAUACGGCCCAGACUCCUACGGGAGGCAGCAGUGGGGAAUAUUGCACAAUGGGCGCAAGCCUGAUGCAGCAACGCCGCGUGCGGGAUGACGGCCUUCGGGUUGUAAACCGCUUUCAGCAGGGACGAAGCUUUUUGUGACGGUACCUGCAGAAGAAGCACCGGCUAACUACGUG
rnacentral:rRNA from 1 species